GUGCUCGCUUCAGCAGCACAUAUACUAAAAUUGGAACGAUACAGAGAAGAUUAGCACGGCCCCAGCGCAAGGAUGACAUGCAAAUUCGUGAAGUGUUCCAUAUUUUU
rnacentral:snRNA from 1 species